rnacentral:rRNA from 1 species
UGGGGAAUAUUGGACAAUGGGCGCAAGCCUGAUCCAGCAAUGCCGCGUGUGUGAAGAAGGCCUUCGGGUUGUAAAGCACUUUUAUCAGGAGCGAAACGCUGUCGGCUAAUACCCGGCGGAACUGACGGUACCUGAGGAAUAAGCACCGGCUAACUUCGUACCAGCAGCCGCGGUAAUACGAAGGGUGCAAGCGUUAAUCGGAAUUACUGGGCGUAAAGCGUGCGUAGGCGGUUUCUUAAGUCUGCUGUGAAAUCCCCGGGCUCAACCUGGGAAUGGCAGUGGAUACUGGGAGGCUAGAGUGUGUCAGAGGGUGGUGGAAUUCCCGGUGUAGCGGUGAAAUGCGUAGAGAUCGGGAGGAACAUCAGUGGCGAAGGCGGCCACCUGGGACAACACUGACGCUGAGGCACGAAAGCGUGGGGAGCAAACAGGAUUAGAUACCCUGGUAGUCCACGCCCUAAAGCGAUGCGAACUGGAUGUUGGUCUCAACUCGGAGAUCAGUGUCGAAGCUAACGCGUUAAGUUCGCCGCCU